GAUUGACAGUCGGUAAUUGGGUAACUGGAGGCGGCUUCUCCGGCCGGGCGGCCCCGCCACCGCGACGCCGGGCCCCUGACGUCACCCGAUUCGCCAGGAAAUGAACUUUUUAAUAAUCCGAGGAGGGAGGAAAGCCCUCGGUCCCCUCGGUUCGGGGGGCUCCCGGCCAGGCCCAGCUCCGCGGGCGCGCCCCAGUCACCCUCUCCCAGGCCAGCUCUGGGCAGCUCCGGGGGUGCCGGCACGGGCCAGGGGCCUCCUCCUGCCUCUGCGUCCGGCUGUCCGUUCAUCUGUCCGAGGCCCUGGCGCAGCUUACGAUUCUUCAUCAUCGCGUAAAAUGCGAUCGUCAGAGCCUCGAACGUGUUUGGCGUCCCUGGAGCCCAGCGAGAGCUUAUCAAAGACACCGCGGCCCCGGGGACAAUCCCCGGUGUCGGGCAAGGCUGCCCCGUCAGCCUGAACCCCGGGACCCAGCGCAGGAGGCAGCCAGCCGCUCGCCGGUCGCGGGGCCUUGAACGCCGGAGCCGAGCGGAAGCUUUCCAUGGGGCUGCGAUCUGCGUCUUGUCUCGCAGGGACGUGGCCGCUCCGGCCCUCGGGAAAACAGGUAAUUCGCUUUAUUUCCCCCAAAGGCGUGGUUCAAAUGACCCCCAUCCUGGGUGGGCCUGCAGUUUCAUCAUUCCGAACUCGGCUAAAAGCUCCUCCGGGGCAACCUGAAGCCUCUCCGGGGCAGCGUCUGGGCCACCGCAGGAGUGGAGGUGACCAUCCUGGCCGGGCCCCCUCCCUGAACAGCAGCCCCGAGCUGCCCGCUGGCCUGGCGCAGAACCGAGCGCGGGCAGGGAUUUAAUUACCCCGCUCGGCGGCUCAGAAAAUCGCAGCGCAGAGGAGCUUAGCAGGGCAGUUAAGCAAUGCUUGAGCAGGGGCCUCGGGAGAUCCGCACCAGUCUCCCUUCCCGCAAUCGGGGUCUAGAGAAAAGGGGAGGAGGGAGCUCCCCCAGGUCUCUUGAGGCCCCCCCGGGGUUGCCUUCCUCCAAAAGGCAGGCAGGCAGCCGGCUUGUCGGAGGCCUCCACUAUGAUUUGAGCUCCUGCGUUGGACGCGGGACUGCUGCGUUCUCCCGGAGGAACGAACCCGCCUGGGAGAGAAAAGAGGGGCGCCAGGCAGGAGAAGGCCCAGCUGGUCGGUAAAACAACCCCCACUCCAAUCAUGAGUGUACGUGUAUGCCAGACAAACCAAGGGACACUACCCGGGCAUCUUGCCCAGUAGGCAACGGAGACCAUCCUAUCACCUGUACCCAGACAAACGUGGGGGGAGGAUCAGGGUGGCCCCCCAAAUCGGCUGGGAUUGCGGGGGCAUCCUUGAGCCUGAGAAGAGCAGAUUUAUUUCAGUUUACAGCCUCGGGAUUACGGGUCUCCGGAACACCUUCAGAGGGACGCGUUCCCUUCUUCAUGUUUUUGUUCGUUUCCAAGGGUUGUUGCUUAUGCGGGUGCUGCCUUUUGAUCGCACCGAGAAGCUGUCAUUUUCCUUACAUAAGAACAAGACUUCAGGAAGCACUGAGGAAGGGCAGCAGAGAAACUGAAUUUUCUAACUGCCUUUUCCAAGCGACCUGAGAUUCCCCGAGAAAGCAUGGGUCAUCGGUGCGGCUCAGGAUGCUUUCUCCGGGGAGCUGGCAGCGCAGGGAUCCGGAGGCCCGGUUCUACGGGGCCUCACCGGCCUGGGCCGUGGCUCUCAGCUGCCCGGUCUUCCUCGUUCUACAUGGCCCUCCCCUCCACGCCCUUUGUUUAAACUUCCGUCAUCCAAGGUAGCCCCUCUGGAACCAUAAGUUUGCCCUCUCUUUGUAACCUAAUUCUUCCCACCUUUUCCUAUGGGCAUCGAAUUGGCCUGCAGUGGAGGGGAGAUUCAAAGAAACCAGUUUGCUUAGGGGCUGCCUUCCAUAGGGAUAUUUAAUUGUCAAUCCAGCGACCUCCCAGCCCUACGCUGGCAAUGUGCCUUGAGGGGUACUGAGGAGGAAGUGGGGGCCGCUUUAGCCAGAGGGGUUCAGAAGUCCCCAAAGGGCAAGGCCUCAGAUCUGCUCAGGCCUGCAGCCAUCCCUCCAGAGGGGUUCUGCAAUGGAGGGUCCAGGCUCCAACACCCCCUUCUGCUCGUUGGGGUUCACUUCCAGUCCCCCAAAUGUGAAGGCUCCCUCUCCUGUGGCCUCCAUGAAGAUUCUCCCACCCCUUACGUCUUUUGGGCCUUUUCGAAUCGUAAAACCCGGGGCCCACGAUCGAGAAGUCUUGGCGCCCUGGGUCGAGGCGCCUGGGAGAUCCCGUAUCUCCUUAUCAGGUUCCACCUCCAACCCGCACAGCCUCCCCCAUGGGCCCUGCUGAGACCUGCAGCAAUCAAGCAGCGUUUUUCCGUGCUUCACCAACAGCCACGGUUUACUCAGAGCGCCUGGCGGCCGGGCGGCCCGGCGGCCCGGCAGCAUGACAACUGGUAAAUCCGUUUCGUUAGACGCAAUUUGUUUGCAAUUUGUCAACCCGGCUGGGAAACGCUCUCCAGACGCCUGGGCAGCCGCCCUGGCCCUACCUGCUUCUCGAAUUCUGCCUACUCAUAAACGAAUCCCAUCGCUAGGUGCCCGUGUAGACCCGGAGCUCACCGCCAGAUGUUCCCGAUCCCCGGGAGACGUAGCUUUUUCCAAAACAACGAAUUUCCUUCCGUGUUUUCCGGGAAAGGAGCGGCCGCCACUCCCGGGGGCCCUGAACGCCGGAUCUUUCCCCUCGCGGUUGGGGCAACCUGGAGUUCAAGCCUGGCUGCCGCCGAAGGAUUCUAAAUGCCCGGCGUCCAGGCAGACCGAGAACGCCGUCUACGCCUCCCGGAGGCAGAUCCCGGAGCCCGCGGCGGCCCCAUUCUUAUUGAAAUCCCACUAAACAGAUUCCGACUCCGGCUUGGGGCUGGGGGGAGACUUCCAGACCCGGCGCUCUCCCCCACCCGCACCCCAGCCACACAGGAUAAAGGGCCGCGGGGCGCGGCGCCCGGGGGCGCACGCAGGAGCGAGCCGGGUUAAGCCGCGCAAAGCCGGCGCACGGGACCAGUCGGCAGGUGCAGCCGCGGCUCGGCUGCCGGGCUUGGGCGCCUCGGCUGCCGGGCUUGGGCGCCUCCGCCGCCGUGGCCCGGAGGUGGGGGCGGCCGAGACAAAGACCCCAGCUCGGGGGCCGGGAGGUGGGGCGCUUUGCGAGGCACUGGGAAUAACCGGGGCUCGCGGCCUAUGUAUGGCUGCAUCCGAGAAAUGGGAAAGCGGGAGGCCGGACGCGGGCCUGCUGUCCUCAACUCCGCAAAUACUCCCUCAGGAUUAGGCCCCUAUGACCUGGGGUUCGAGCCGCUGGUAGGACCAGGGCGAACCCCGAAGGCCACAUGUCAGGGGCCACUGGGCUAGGCGGACCGCGUUUAGGGGGCCCAAACCUGGGGGCUGGAAGGGCCCUGGCCAGGCGGAGGUGGGGGGACUUACCGAGCGAGGUGCGGCGGGCUGCGCCCCCGGGUGGACGGGGCCGGAGCGGAGCGGGGCGCACAGCGCGGUGCGUGGCUAGGUGGGCCCACAGGACCCGGCGCGGGCUGGCGGCGUUCACCAGCAGGGCCGGGGCGGCGCGCCGAGUGGCCGCAUGGUGAGCGGCGGGCCGCUUUUGUUCGCCCGGUGGCCGACGGGGGCCGGCUGGGGUGGGGGCGAAGGCAGCCAGGAGAUAGAGGCUUGAGCAGCGAGCCCGGGCGGCGCUGGCCUUGUUACCUCCCUCUCGCUCCCGCUGCCUCUCCCUCCCCUCCCCCGGCCGCAGUGGCCGCUGCUUUUUAUUUCGACAGCACUUUGAGGGGGCGGGAGCGCCGCAGGGGGGCAGGGGGGUGCCCAGAGCUCUGCGCCCCGUUUCCCUGGUCCAGCCGCGGGACGGCAGGCCGAGGGCCGGUGGGCACUCAAGGCGCAACACCCUACUCGCCCAUACUCCAGACUACUCCCGCCCUUGCAGGGGCACACAAAUGAGCACCCCUGCGCUCAAGGGUGUAUGUUCAGAAAGUCCGGGACCUCUCUUUUUGGAGACUCUCCCCGGGGACCCUCACGAACCGUGGCCACAAGCGCCCACACACAUACACAGCCGCCUGCUCCUCCUCCAACCUUCUUCCAACAGUGCUCACGCAGACACACAUCUGUGCACACGCGUUAGUGCACACAGUUGGGGCUGCGUGGACAUCCUCAGCCGGGAGAUGUGGGUCACAUUGGCAUGCAUACGUGCACACACCCAAAUGUAGCUUGAGAAUCUGGCACGCGCAGCAUGCACGCUCGAGCACACACACACACCCCUCACUUCCAGGCUGACUCGGCUAGAUGUAGACAUAUGGCCUCUCCCUUCCCCAUCUAUACCCCCAUUCGAAUUCCCCAACUCCAGAGCAGACCAGAGCAUUUCAGGAGUGGGGUGUGAGGCUUCUCCUUGACCAUCCCCAAGGAACCCUCUCACAGGAGGGGGCUAGGGAGUAGAGGGUUUGUCUUUGGAAGGCUAGGCAGAGGAGUUGGGUGUGGGAGUCUUCUGGGCAAGAAUGCUUUCGGGUUUGUGAGCUAGGGGAAUAUAGUCCUUGAACUUCCAAAGUUCCUACCUCAAAAUUCAACUCCACAGUGCAGGGGUGGAGGGCUGGUCCCAUACCAGCUGCCCUGGGGGAGUCAAAGUGGCCUGGGGGAUCUUGGGCCCAAAGAGAAAGUGCUUUGCUUUGGAAGGACUGGGAAAACUAGUGUGUGUCCCAGAGUGUCCAGCCCCCCAUCUCUCUGGGCAUCUUCUAUCUGUGGGUCUUUCUUUGAAGCUGAUAGUGACUGUGUUGCAUAUGUAUUUGCUGUGUGCACGCAGGAGAAUAUCUAUCCUGAGCGCCCCUGUGUGUCUGUGUGCAUUUGUGAGCGCAUGGAAAGUCUGCAAAACUGAGUAUAUUAGUAUGCCCAUUUCUUCUUGUGGGUCCCUGAGAGUUUGUAUAUUGAGAGUCUGUGUUUUGUGGGUUCCUGAGAGUUUGUAUAUUAUGUGUGGCUGUUUCGGAGCAUGACUCCCGGAGUGCAUGUGGGAGAGUGUCUCUGUGGAACUGGGAUGUGUGUCCCUGUGGCUGUGUAUCUGUGUGAUCAUUGUGUCCAUGAAUCAUUUGAUGGGAAAUGAGUAUUUCCAAGUGUUUAUUUAUAAAUUGGUGUGUGUCCCUAUGUGGGUCGGUAGCAGUGUGUGUCUGGGUAUCCUGUGUCUAUGAAUUGGGGUGUGUGUGCAUGGUGUGUGUGUGUCUGUCUUUACCAGCACUGGGUAUUGGGUGUGUAUCAUUGUAUCUUUGAGCUGAUUGUGGACAGUGUAGAGUGUAGCCAAGUGUGUCUGCAUAUCUGGGUAUAGCUGUAGGUAUGAACUGAUAUGUGUUGGGCUGGGUGUUUAUGUCUGUUUACCUAGGGUGUGGGUAUCUGUGUGUAUGAAUUAUCUUUGAACUAUGUGUGUUUCUCUACCCAGUAUUACCCUGUGUCUGUUGUCUGGGGAAGUGUGUGUCUCUGGGUGACACACAAUAUGUGUGUCUUCCCAGAUCACCCAUCAUCCCUAACUGGCAGGGCAGGCGGCCAGUGGAGCUCCGGGGUGCCAUUUGCGAGGGUACUUUCUGUCUGUCUGUGGGAGGGGGCGAUGAGCUGAUAAGGCUUAUCUGCCGAAGCCAGCGCCAUGCUGAAUAACCGCUCUAAUGAGGUGGCCUUGCUGGGACCACCCGCUCCCAAGGCCCCCAGCCUCACUGGGGAGGGGCAUGGGGGAGCCAGUGCUGGGGCACAAGGGCAAAUCCCCAUGAACCCAGCAGGGCCUGAAUGUCUACUGGGCCUUUUUUAGUUCGGUCUUGUUUCUUCAGAGGGGGGUUCGAGGUCUUACACCCCCACCCCACCUGCCAUCUCUCUGCUGGGCUGGGCUGGGCUGGGCUGGCCAGAGCCUCCCAGCCUCUGGUCUGCAGUCAGGAACACAGCCUUAAGAGGGUAGGGGGAGUGAGGCCCACUGAUGCAGGGUGGGGGGGACCCUUGGGUGGGGGUAGAUUGAGAGACAUGGAGGCCCAGGGAUGACAAGACCCAGAGAGACAGGGAACAGGGAUGAAACAGGGAGACCCAAGAACAGAUUUUAAAAAGCAACUGCCAUAGAGGAACAGAGACACCAGUAGGGGAUGGAGGGGUAGUUUGGGGACAUGCAGGAACAGACAAAAACAAACAACCAGAAAGUGGCAAAAGAGUCAGAGAGAAGGGAACAAAAGCAGCGAAAGUGUUAACCAGAGACAGACACGGACAAAGAGACAAGGGAGAGAUACAGAGAGGAGAGAGAGAGCAAAACAAAUCAAAAAGAGAGAUGGAAGACAGAAGGGAACCCGGACGGGCUCUGAGAGCAGCGGGAGAAGAGGGAGAGCAGGAAGGGCCCCAAAUAGACUGAGGGAAGAGUGGGGACGCGGCAGACAGGCUGGGCAGGAUGGACAGAUGGAUGGAGGGACCGCGGCAAUGCCGAGCACCGCGCCCGACACGAGCGCGGGAGGCCGCUCGCCAGGCUGCGGGCCCGGAGGGUGUGAGCGCAGAGCCCGCGGGCCGGGCGGGGCACCGAGGCGCGGGCGGCGGCGGCGGGCAGGGGGGUCCGCGCGGGGCUGCGCCGCUGUCCGGGGUAAUUUUUCAUCUCGGCCGGCUAAUCUUUGUUCCCGGCGAAGAUAAUGAAUAGCCAAUCGUUAUCUGCCCGGCUCCCGGAGGCUGCCCGAGAAUGGGGUUGUACAGGGCUGGGAAUUGUUUCCAAAGUGCCGCGGAAUAAAUGGUGUUCCUUAUCUCUGCCUUCCAGAUUAUCGGAGCCCUUU